rnacentral:rRNA from 1 species
GAGCGAACAGGAUUAGAUACCCUGGUAGUNCACGCCGUAAACGAUGAGUGCUAGGUGUUAGGCCCUUUCCGGGGCUUAGUGCCGCAGCUAACGCAUUAAGCACUCCGCCUGGGGAGUACGACCGCAAGGUUGAAACUCAAAGGAAUUGACGGGGGCCCGCACAAGCGGUGGAGCAUGUGGUUUAAUUCGAAGCAACGCGAAGAACCUUACCAGGUCUUGACAUCCCGAUGCCCGCUCUAGAGAUAGAGUUUUACUUCGGUACAUCGGUGACAGGUGGUGCAUGGUUGUCGUCAGCUCGUGUCGUGAGAUGUUGGGUUAAGUCCCGCAACGAGCGCAACCCUUAUUGUUAGUUGCCAUCAUUCGGUUGGGCACUCUAGCGAGACUGCCGGUAAUAAACCGGAGGAAGGUGGGGAUGACGUCAAAUCAUCAUGCCCCUUAUGACCUGGGCUACACACGUGCUACAAUGGUUGGUACAACGAGUUGCGAGUCGGUGACGGCGAGCUAAUCUCUUAAAGCCAAUCUCAGUUCGGAUUGUAGGCUGCAACUCGCCUACAUGAAGUCGGAAUCGCUAGUAAUCGCGGAUCAGCACGCCGCGGUGAAUACGUUCCCGGGCCUUGUACACACCGCCCGUCACACCACGAGAGUUUGUAACACCCGAAGUCGGUGUGGUAACCUUAUGGAGCCAGC